AGCUCAAGCCGGCGGAUUUCGACCUCCUCGGCAAGCCGCUGAUGAAGCGCAUCAUGCAGACGUGGCUCCCCGCCGACGUCGCGCUCCUCGAGAUGAUCAUCUUCCACCUGCCGUCCCCGGCGACGGCGCAGAAGUACCGCGCGGACACGCUGUACGAGGGUCCCCUGGACGACAAGUACGCGGAGUCCAUUCGCAACUGCGACAGCAGCGGGCCGCUCAUGCUGUACGUCUCGAAGAUGAUUCCCACCGCAGACAAAGGACGCUUCCUCGCCUUCGGCAGAGUCUUCUCCGGUAAGGUCAAGACGGGCAUGAAGGUGCGCAUCCUCGGCCCCAACUACGUUCCGGGCGAGAAGAAGGACCUGUACGUCAAGUCCAUCCAGCGCACGGUGCUCUGCAUGGGCCGUCGCCAGGACGCGGUCGAGGACGUUCCCGCGGGCAACACGGUGGCGAUGGUCGGCCUCGAUCAGUUCAUCUCCAAGAACGCGACC
rnacentral:lncRNA from 1 species